GGUGUGUGAGACUCCUGAUCUCCUUCCCCACGCCAACUCUUAUUUUUGAAAAUUUUGGGAUGUCCAAAAGGUGUUUGGCAUGGACUCUAUUGGCGCCAUCCCUUGGACCAAAACCCUUGCCCUUGUCUAUUUAAAGGGGGCUUCAAUUGUUGACGCCAUAUGCUAAGUUUCUUGCUAUUUUUUAUUUUUUUCCAGAGCUCCUUCUCUUCUCCUCUUCCUCCUCUAGAUAUUCUUUUUGUUUGGAGUGUCCAAGAUUUGUGAAGAAGAAGGGAGAAAUCAGCC
rnacentral:lncRNA from 1 species